GACGAACGCUGGCGGCGUGCUUAACACAUGCAAGUCGAACGAAGAGCGACGGAAGCUUGCUUCUAUCAAUCUUAGUGGCGAACGGGUGAGUAACGCGUAAUCAACCUGCCCUUCAGAGGGGGACAACAGUUGGAAACGACUGCUAAUACCGCAUACGAUCUAACCUCGGCAUCGAGGAUAGAUGAAAGGUGGCCUCUACAUGUAAGCUAUCACUGAAGGAGGGGAUUGCGUCUGAUUAGCUAGUUGGAGGGGUAACGGCCCACCAAGGCGAUGAUCAGUAGCCGGUCUGAGAGGAUGAACGGCCACAUUGGGACUGAGACACGGCCCAGACUCCUACGGGAGGCAGCAGUGGGGAAUCUUCCGCAAUGGACGAAAGUCUGACGGAGCAACGCCGCGUGAGUGAUGACGGCCGUCGGGUUGUAAAGCUCUGUUAAUCGGGACGAAAGGCCUUCUUGCGAAUAGUGAGAAGGAUUGACGGUACCGGAAGAGAAAGCCACGGCUAACUACGUG
rnacentral:rRNA from 1 species